UGGGGAAUUUUGGACAAUGGGCGAAAGCCUGAUCCAGCAAUGCCGCGUGUGUGAAGAAGGCCAUUCGGGUUGUAAAGCACUUUUGUCCGGAAAGAAAUCCUUGGCUCUAAUACAGUCGGGGGAUGACGGUACCGGAAGAAUAAGCACCGGCUAACUACGUGCCAGCAGCCGCGGUAAUACGUAGGGUGCAAGCGUUAAUCGGAAUUACUGGGCGUAAAGCGUGCGCAGGCGGUUUGCUAAGACCGAUGUGAAAUCCCCGGGCUCAACCUGGGAACUGCAUUGGUGACUGGCAGGCUAGAGUAUGGCAGAGGGGGGUAGAAUUCCACGUGUAGCAGUGAAAUGCGUAGAGAUGUGGAGGAAUACCGAUGGCGAAGGCAGCCCCCUGGGCCAAUACUGACGCUCAUGCACGAAAGCGUGGGGAGCAAACAGGAUUAGAUACCCUGGUAGUCCACGCCCUAAACGAUGUCAACUAGUUGUUGGGGAUUCAUUUCCUUAGUAACGUAGCUAACGCGUGAAGUUGACCGCCUGGGGAGUACGGUCGCAAGAUUAAAACUCAAAUGAAUUGACGGGGUCAUAGCUGUUUCCU
rnacentral:rRNA from 1 species